AGCGAACGCUGGCGGCGUGCCUAACACAUGCAAGUCGAGCGAGAAAGGGGUGGCAACACCCUGAGUAAAGCGGCGAACGGGUGAGUAACGCGUGGGCAAUCUACCUUCCAGUCUGGGAUAACCUUCCGAAAGGGGGCGUAAUACCGGAUGAUGUCCUGUUGGGGUCGAUCCUGAGGGGAGGCAAAGGGGGACGGACCCGCCAAGGGGCGUCUCGCUGGAGGAGGAGCCUGCGUCCGAUUAG
rnacentral:rRNA from 1 species